CAGUAGCCGCGGUAAUACGAAGGGUGCAAGCGUUAAUCGGAAUUACUGGGCGUAAAGCGUGCGUAGGCGGUGAGUUAAGUCUGCUGUGAAAUCCCCGGGCUCAACCUGGGAAUGGCAGUGGAUACUGGGUCACUAGAGUGUGGUAGAGGAUAGUGGAAUUUCCGGUGUAGCAGUGAAAUGCGUAGAGAUCGGAAGGAACAUCUGUGGCGAAGGCGACUAUCUGGGCCAACACUGACACUGAGGCACGAAAGCGUGGGGAGCAAACAGGAUUAGAGACCCGCGUAGUCCCUGUCUCUUAUAC
rnacentral:rRNA from 1 species